GUGAUUGGCUGUUUAGUCAGAACCAGGGAAGGUGAUUGGCUGUUUAGUCAGAACCAGGGAAGGCAAUUGGCUGUUUAGUCAGAACCAGGGAAGGUGAUUGGCUGUUUAGUCAGAACCAGUGAAGGUGAUUGGCUGUUUAGUCAGAACCAGGGAAGAUGAUUGGCUGUUUAUUCAGAACCAGGGAAGGUGAUUGGCUGUUUAGUCACAGCCGGGGGGGUGAUUGGCUGUUUAGUCAGAACCAGGGAAGGUGAUUGGCUGUUUAGUCAGAACCAUUGAAGGUGAUUGGCUGUUUAGUCACAGCCGGGGAAGGUGAUUGGCUGUUUAGUCGGAACCAGGGAAGGUGAUUGGCUGUUUAGUCAGAACCAGGGAAGCUGAUUGGCUGUUUAGUCAGAACCAGGGAAGGUGAUUGGCUGUUUAGUCACAGCCGGGGAAGGUGAUUGGCUGUUUAGUCAGAACCAGGGAAGGCAAUUGGCUGUUUAGUCAGAACCAGGGAAGGUGAUUGGCUGUUUAGUCAGAACCAGGGAAGGUGAUUGGCUGUUUAGUCAGAACCAGGGAAGGUGAUCGGCUGUUUAGUCAGAACCAGGGAAGAUGAUUGGCUGUUUAUUCAGAACCAGGGAAGGUGAUUGGCUGUUUGACUGUUUUCUUCCUGUUUCUCAGAAUUAGACCUGGAUGUCUUUCUGGAACAUGAGGAUUUCCCUUUUGCCUUCAAUGAUGCUCUGUUUGACCUGGACUUUAAUGUGGACAUACAGACUGGUGAGGUUGCCAUACCGACAGCUGUGGCCGAGCCAGGCGACCAGAAACAGAACAGCGAGACACAGAGAG